GACGAAGGUGGCGAGCGUUGUUCGGAAUCACUGGGCAUAAAGCGCACGUAGGCGGUGCCGUAAGUCGGAUGUGAAAUCCCUCGGCCUAACCGAGGAACUGCGUCCGAUACUGCGGUGCUUGAGGAUCAGAGGGGUGCAUGGAAUUUCCGGUGGAGCGGUGAAAUGCGUUGAUAUCGGAAGGAACUCCGGCGGCGAAAGCGGCUUACUGGGUAUUUUCUGACGCUGAUGCACGAAAGCCAGGGUAGCGAACGGG
rnacentral:rRNA from 1 species